rnacentral:rRNA from 1 species
UAAACAUUGAUAUUUAUUACACCCACUAUCCGCCCGGGUACUACGAGCAUGAGCUUAAAACCCAAAGGACUUGGCGGUGCUUAAGAUCCCCCUAGAGGAGCCUGUUCUAGAACCGAUAAUCCCCGUUUAACCUCACCCUCUUUUGUUUUUUCCGCCUAUAUACCGCCGUCGUCAGCUUACCCCAUGAGGGAUUAAUAGUGAGCAAAAAUGGCACAGCCUAAAACGUCAGGUCGAGGUGUAGCAUAUAAGAGGGGAAGAAAUGGGCUACAUUCUCUAAAAUAGAGAACACGGAUAAUAUAUUGAAAUAUAUAUUUUAAGGAGGAUUUAGUAGUAAGUAAAAAUCAGAAUGUUUCACUGAAAUAGGCCCUAAAGCGUGC